GCCACGGGGCUCUGUCUCGAAUAUCUCUGGCAGGAAAAGACAGGGUGCUCUUUGUGCAUCCAACUGAGAAAUGGAGGCCCUGAAGAGUUCCGGGUCCUCCCCGCCAUCAUGAAGCCCGACCCCAGGUGAACUGCCAUGCCACCGAAUCCCCCUGUGGACUCUGGACUCACCAGCCCCCAGCAGCAGGGCCAACAGCGGGAGCAGCACUGUGGAGGUGGGUACCCGGCGCAGCAUGGUGGGAAGUCGGGACCUGGGACCUCUCCGCUGAGUGGACAGCCAGUGCCAGAGCCUUAUAACCCAGGUGCAGUGGCCCCAGCAGGGGGAGGAAAUGACAUCAGCACCAACCCCUCCCCAGCUUAGGAGAGAGGACAGCUGUGGGGCGCUCCAGGACCCUCAAUUAUUCAUGGGAACCCACACUCAAGCAUGCUCCCCUCCGGGCUUCUGGCCCAGGAGCACGGGGUGGGGUGUGGGGGAAGGCUCUCCCCAGACUCACAUGGGAACUGGGCAACUCUCCUUUUCUCAGCUUUCCUCAUCUGGAAAGUGGAUCCUCCUGAAUCUAUUUCCUCGGAGGUGCGAGCUCCUUCUGGCCAAGUCCCCGCUCCACCAUCCACCAGCUGUGCAGUGCUGGGACAAUUGCUUAAGCUUUGUUAUAUUUAGGAAAGUUUCGGUGACAGCCUACUCCAGAGCUCUUGGGUGAGAAUGAAAUGUGAGGGUGCUUGGGCAGUGCCCUGCACUGGGAACUUCACGGGGCUACACGGCACCCCGUACCGUGCGUGUGACGUACACACUUGUGGAGGCUGGUGUCUUCCUGCUGCUCCCCACUUUAUUUUCUGAGAUGGUCUCUUACUGAACCUGGAGCUAGGAUAGGCCAGUUGGCCAGCAAGCUCCUGAGAUCCAACUGUCUGUCCACUUAGUGCUUGGGUUACAAGAGCACAUGGCUUCUGUGGCUUCCAAGGAUCCGAACUCAGGUUGUCACGAUAGCGUAGCACUUUUCACAUGAAGCCCUAACCAACCACCAGGUAACAUUUUCCCUUGCUUUUCUUUCUUUUUUCUUUUUGGGAAGACAGGGUCUUGCUAUGUAGCUCAGGCUGGCCUCAAAUUUGUGGCAAUCCUCCUGUCUUCGCCUCUAAAAUGCAGGGCUUACAAGUGUGAACCACCACAGAUAAUGUCCAGUAAUCUAUUUUUGUUUCUUUGAGACCGGGUCUUGCUAGAGACAGCCUGCACUAGCCGUGAAAUCCUUUAUUUGAAAUUGCCGUUACGUGCGUGGCAGUGGGUAAGUACACACUUGAGUGCCUGUGGCCAGGGAGUCCUUUGAAAGAGCAGCCAGUGAGCGCUCUUAACGGCGGAGCCAUCUCUUCAGGUUUUUGUUUGUUUUUCGAGACAGGGUCUCUCUGUGUAGCCCUGGCUGUCCUGGAACUCACUUUGUAGACCAGGCUGGCCUCGAA